AUUGAACGCUGGCGGCAUGCUUUACACAUGCAAGUCGAACGGUAACAGGCCUUCGGGUGCUGACGAGUGGCGAACGGGUGAGUAAUGCAUCGGAACGUGCCCAAUCGUGGGGGAUAACGUAGCGAAAGUUACGCUAAUACCGCAUAAGCCCUGAGGGGGAAAGUGGGGGACCGCAAGGCCUCACGCGAAUGGAGCGGCCGAUGUCAGAUUAGCUAGUUGGUGGGGUAAAGGCCCACCAAGGCGACGAUCUGUAGCGGGUCUGAGAGGAUGAUCCGCCACACUGGGACUGAGACACGGCCCAGACUCCUACGGGAGGCAGCAGUGGGGAAUUUUGGACAAUGGGCGCAAGCCUGAUCCAGCCAUGCCGCGUGCGGGACGAAGGCCUCGGUUGUAACCG
rnacentral:rRNA from 1 species